AUGGAGUUUUCCUGCCCGAGUCUGCCGGUGGAUAUUCGCGGAGACCUAGAGAGGUUCGCUAAGGCAUACGCGGAAGCGCACAGCCUUGAGGACCGUCUCCGCCACGUAAAGCAGGGCAUCGAAUUGCUGACGGCUGAGUUUUGGUGGCGUGCGUAUCCCGGAGUGCAGACGUACUACGAGAGACUUCAUUCGCUGCAGAGGGAAUUGGCGUGCGCGCUGCAUGCAUCGUCCGCCCGUGUCUCCGCAGCUGCUCCUACCGCUGUUUCAUCGCUUUACGUUCCCGUUCCUGUUCCUGUCGCCGCUCCGGCGGCUCCAGCCCAAGUUCCAGUCGCCGUGGCCUCGUUUCACCAUGCGGACCCCGUUACAGAGGUCCGGUCCACACCGCUCCCAGCGCCUCAAACGACGGACAGUCGCAGCUGCUCCGGACGGCGACGGCGGAGGCGCGGUUCCAGGAUUCCGGGUCCCGCGGUCUCGGUCAUGGGGACCGAGCAGCCUCCUUCUCCGACAGAGGAGCCCCUUGAUUCUCCGACUGACUGUGUCCCUCUGAUAACAGGCAUCCCAGACAGCGUCGCCCGACGGGUCCACCUCCUCUGCUCUCCUCCAGUUGCGUUUCUCUUUGCCCAUCUCAUGAACACCGCCGAUUCGGCAGCAGACCAGGGCACGAGAGAACAAUUGUUCGAGGAAGCAGCCGCUCUCGUCCUGAGGGAACCUGUCCUGCGUGAGGUCCUGCAACUCCCGGUCCUGCAGCCAGCAGCCGCUUCAUGUCCCACCUCUCAGUCAGGUCAGUCGAGCCCAGUUCAGUCUCCAGUCCAGCCGAGCCCUGUUCAGUCUCCAGUCCAGCCGAGCCCUGUUCAGUCUCCAGUCCAGUCGAGCCCAGUUCCAGUUCAGUCGAGCCCAGCCCCGGUUCCAGUUCAGUCGAGCCCAGCCCCGGUUCCAGUUCAGUCGAGCCCAGUACAGGUCUCAGCCCAGUCGAGCCCAGUACAGGUCUCAGCCCAGUCGAGCCCAGUACAGGUCUCAGCCCAGUCGAGCCCAGUCCAGUCGAGCCCAGUCCCGGUUCCAGUUCAGUCGAGCCCAGUCCAGGUUCCCGUCCAGUCGAGCCCAGUCCAGGUUCCAGUCCAGUCGAGCCCAGUACAGGUCUCAGUCCAGUCGAGCCCAGUACAGGUCUCAGUCCAGUCGAGCCCAGUUCAGGUUCCAGCCAGUCGAGCCCAGUUCAGGUUCCAGCCCAGUCGAGCCCAGUCCAGUCGAGCCCAGUCCAGGUUCCAGCCCAGUCGAGCCCAGUCCAGUCGAGCCCAGUUCAGGUUCCAGUCCAGUCGAGCCCAGUCCAGUCGAGCCCAGUUCAGGUUCCAGUCCAGUCGAGCCCAGUCCAGUCGAGCCCAGUCCAGUCGAGCCCAGUCCAGUCGAGCCCAGUUCAGUCGAGCUCUGUCCCAGUUCAGUCCAGUCACGCUCCUGUCCCAGUUCAGUCCAGUCACGCGCAGGUCUUAUCCCAGUCAGAGGACUCCACCUGUCGAACGGGUGCUGUGCACACCCGAUCAGGCCCGACGUCUCCUCCGUCGAGCUCGGCAGCUGUAA
ensembl:lncRNA